AACGAACGCUGGCGGCAGGCCUAACACAUGCAAGUCGAGCGCGCCCUUCGGGGUGAGCGGCGGACGGGGGAGUAACGCGUGGGAACGUGCCCUUCUCUGCGGAAUAGCCUCGGGAAACGGAGAGUAAUACCGCAUACGCCCUUUGGGGGAAAGAUUUAUCGGGGCAGGAUCGGCCCGGGUUGGGUUAGGUAGUUGGUGGGGUAAUGGCCCACCAAGCCCACGAUCCAUAGCUGGUUUGAGAGGAUGAUCAGCCACACUGGGACUGAGACACGGCCCAGCCUCCUACGGGAGGCAGCAGUGGGGAAUCUUAGACAAUGGGGGCAACCCUGAUCUAGCCAUGCCGCGUGAGUGAUGAAGGCCUUAGGGUUGUAAAGCUCUUUCAGCUGGGAAGAUAAUGACGGUACCAGCAGAAGAAGCCCCGGCUAACUCCGUG
rnacentral:rRNA from 1 species